GAUGAACGCUAGCGGGAGGCCUAACACAUGCAAGCCGAGCGGUAGAGAUCUUUCGGGAUCUUGAGAGCGGCGUACGGGUGCGGGACACGUGUGCAACCUGCCUUUAUCAGGGAGAUAGCCUUUCGAAAGGAAGAUUAAUACCCCAUAAUAUAUUGAGUGGCAUCACUUAAUAUUGAAAACUCCGGUGGAUAGAGAUGGGCACGCGCAAGAUUAGAUAGUUGGUGAGGUAACGGCUCACCAAGUCUGCGAUCUUUAGGGGGGCUGAGAGGGUGAUCCCCCACACUGGUACUGAGACACGGACCAGACUCCUACGGGAGGCAGCAGUGAAGAAUAAUGGACCAUGGGUGCGAACCUGAUUCAGCCAUCCCGCGUGAAAGACCACCGCCCUAUGGGUUGUAAACUUCUUUUGUAUAGGGAUAAACCUACUCUCGUGAGAGUAGCUGAAGGUACUAUACGAAUAAGCACCGGCUAAAUCCCUGGCAACAGCCGCGGUAAUACCGAAGGUGCAAGCGUUAUCCCGAUUUAUUGGGGUUUAAAGGGCCCUAAGCGGAUCUGUAAGUCAGUGGUGAAAUCUCACAGCUUAACUGUGAAACUGCCAUUGAUACUGCAGGUCUUGAGUGUUGUUGAAGUAGCUGGAAUAAGUAGUGUAGCGGUGAAAUGCAUAGAUAUUACUUAGAACACCAAUUGCGAAGGCAGGUUACUAAGCAACAACUGACGCUGAUGGACGAAAGCGUGGGGAGCGAACAGGAUUAGAUACCCUGGUAGUCCACGCCGUAAACGAUGCUAACUCGUUUUUGGGCUUUCGGGUUCAGAGACUAAGCGAAAGUGAUAAGUUAGCCACCUGGGGAGUACGAACGCAAGUUUGAAACUCAAAGGAAUUGACGGGGGCCCGCACAAGCGGUGGAUUAUGUGGUUUAAUUCGAUGAUACGCGAGGAACCUUACCAAGGCUUAAAUGGGAAAUGACAGGCUUAGAAAUAGGCUUUUCUUCGGACAUUUUUCAAGGUGCUGCAUGGUUGUCGUCAGCUCGUGCCGUGAGGUGUUAGGUUAAGUCCUGCAACGAGCGCAACCCCUGUCACUAGUUGCCAUCAUUAAGUUGGGGACUCUAGUGAGACUGCCUACGCAAGUAGAGAGGAAGGUGGGGAUGACGUCAAAUCAUCACGGCCCUUACGCCUUGGGCCACACACGUAAUACAAUGGCCGGUACAGAGGGCAGCUACACUGCGAAGUGAUGCAAAUCUCGAAAGCCGGUCUCAGUUCGGAUUGGAGUCUGCAACUCGACUCCAUGAAGCUGGAAUCGCUAGUAAUCGCGCAUCAGCCAUGGCGCGGUGAAUACGUUCCCGGGCCU
rnacentral:rRNA from 1 species